GUUUUCUCGUUAAAGAAAUAAAAUAAACAGAUGUCCUUAAGCACUUUGGCUUGUGUUUGUCACAGGAUGGAAAGCUCUAGCUGUAUGAACGGCAGAAAUGAAUUACAGCUACAUUUCAAGUUUGUAAAGCAGUAACAGACAGGCCAAGCCGCCUAUCGCCAACUGGAUCUGAUUGAAUCCCUACAGUCCUGUGCUGGGUUCUGGAUUCCGGAAUCCAAGCCGGAAUCACGUAAUAACACCCGCGGAGGAAUCGGGGAGGACUGUGGUGGAACGGAGAGGGCAGAGGAGCCGGUCGAGGAGCUGUGGAGAUCAGGUCAUGCUCUCUCGACCUGGCCUCUGGAUCUGCAAGAAAAGCCAACACCAGAAGGAAAAUUAAAUUCAUCUGCCGGAGACACUAGGAUAAACAACAGGGAAGAAGAAAAGUACUUUACCUCGUUUUCUAGCUAGAAUUACUGGCUUUGGCUGCACCAUAGCCCACUGUCUUAGGAAGGGAGACGGCUGAAGACAACAAGUGUAUUUCCUAUCAAGUAAAUGUUGAUUGCUUCAAACGUUGGAAGAAAAGGCAUGGAAGACAAUAGAAGGGGAAGCUAAUUAAAUUUUCACAUGGCAAAGGAAAAUGUCAUAGGAAUUUUUAAACCUGGGCUGACCCCAAAGGGCAGCUUUUGUUGGAGAAGCUGCCUCAUAAACUGUCCGCACAAUUUCCAGGACAAACUGGCUGGACAAUAACGUUGAAAACAAAAAAAGAGAGAGAGAGACAAAAUGGAUUCUUACCUUCCCGUAUCUGGAUGCAAAUGUCCCCGUGAGUAAGGAGUGAAAAAUAAUUAUUGUCUCAUCCAAGUCCCACACGAACACACGCUGUGAUGAAAGAGAGGAAGAGAAUGGAGAAAAAUGGACUCACGUGCAUCUGACUUAAUGUCUGCAGAAAUUCAUUCCCUUGGAGGAAAAGAAGUCUCGAAAAACAUUAUCUUUAGUUACAAAACAUGUAACUCACUGAUGUGUCAUGAAUCCCCAUCCAACCUUAUCUGUGUCAUGUGUAUUCGGAUGCCCAGUUUUUGGGCUCUUAUCAACUCAAAAGAUGUCAGAAUCAAGAAGUCUGUCCUUGCCUUCCAUAUAAAAGCUCAAAAAGGAGGAUUCAGGCCAAAAUCAACAACGAAAAUCAUAUAACUCGUUUUACAAAAUGAAAUACCAC
rnacentral:lncRNA from 1 species